rnacentral:lncRNA from 1 species
ACAUUCUGUCUCCCGCUGCAGCGAGGUGACGUGCGUUAUCAGUUUUGUCUUCCAUGUCUUCCUCAUCCUGCUGUUUGCUCCACGGCUCUUGACAGGAUGGAGACGAGGAAAGAACUUCCACAUCCACAUUCAAAACGUCUGCCAGAACUCCCUCAGGCAAGAUUUUUAUGUGUAUGGUCAUUUCAAGUGAAUUUUGUAUACAGAGCAAGAGUCCAGCAUCCACGUGCACUCCUGACCAGGACGUAGAGAGAGGCCCUCCAGGAGGUGUGCAAAGUGGCGUGGAUUUGGGACAGCGAUUUGACAGUAUCUGAGAAAGUUAAAACUCUGCAUCCCCAACACACAGCAAGCCCUGCAGCGGCGAUUACUUUAAAACAUGAAAGAAAUUGCACCUUUUCCUUAAGGGCAAGAUGGUGCUGUGGGCUUUCCUCUCUCCUGAUGAGAUGAUGCAAAUGGACUCCAUAGAGAAACGCUGCCCGUGUAACAAUGCAGUUACGCAACCCGGUGCAUGACACAUGAAUUGCAGCGCACCUGAGAUCCUGAUGAAAUCCUGGGAGCCUGGAGCUGUCAAACAUGGUUUUAAAAAAUAAAGGGAAUACACCCAGCCCACACCCUGACUUUACAACCUUUAAUUAAUUAGAGGAAAGAAAGAGAGAUUUGUCUGGUUUCAUGACUUCAACUUUCCACCUGGAAUAUGAAGCUCCUGCUCUUCCCACCUCCUUUUCUUCUCUCUCUCUCUCUCAGGUUUUUAAAUUUCUAUUUCCAGUUCUGCCACCAAAAAUAGAUUGCAAAUAUAUUCUGCAUAAUUCCGAGGCUACACUAUAAAUGUUGGAGUGCUACUACUUGUAUAAUAGUCACAAAUGAACGCACGAGUGGGCAC